CCUGCACCCCUCAGCGGUAUCUGGAAAUAUUUUUGGUUGUCAUGAGGGGGUGGGGUACAGGCCAGGGGUGCUGCUUAGCAUCUGGACAGCCCCCACUAUGGAGAAUCAUGAGGCUGAGAAAGCUCCCCAGGCCGGGGCUCUCCUGUGAGGCAAGUCUCCUGGCAGUCUUCAGGUGUGGCAGGGGUUGGGGUGGGCCCGGGGGUCACGUCCCAGCUCAGCUGGUCCUGAGAAGCUGCCUGGUAGACAGUCACCGGCACAGAGAGCUGGAAAGUGCCCUCGACCCCAGAACCUGGGUCCUGUGAGGAUAUCCACCCUGUGUGAGGCCAGGGAGUGCUCAGCAGAUGGGGGCAGCAGGGGGUGUCAGCAUGGGUGGGGGUUCCUGCCAAGGCAGGCAGCUGAGCUGGCCCCACCUCAGAGUGCAGGGGCCCUCAGCUUGAUCUUUUCUGGGCUCCACUCUUGACUGAUGGACCCAUGGGGCACCCUGGCCCCACCCUGCCUGCCUUGCCCCAGCUCCUGCCCUUGCCCUGUAGGGCUCUGUGGCCUCCCCUGUGCCUGUGUGCCCGGCUCACUAGACCCUGGACCUGCGGUCCCUCAGCUCCACUCUAGUCCCCUUACUCUGUCCCUCUACUGCCUGGCGUCGCUCAGCUCCUCCCUGCCUGUCCAGGGCCCAGCAUCCUGUGCCCAUGACCUCACAUCUGUCCCUCUGCCCGGGUCCCCCACUCACCUGUGUUUUGGUCCAUCUUUGUCUGCUGACCCCACUAUAGAUUUUAAAGAUACAAAUAUGCAUGCACGUGGUUAAAAACUCGCUGAUGUCAGAUGGCUGGGAUGAAAGGACUGCCUGCUGCCUUUCCUCUUGUAGUGCUCAGACACCUCUGCAGGGGAAGCUCCUUGUUUUUUUUGUUGUUGUUUUUUUUUUUCACUUCUUAUUUUGAAAUAAUUAUAGAUUCACAGGAAGUUGCAAAAAAAAAAAACAAAACAAAACCCGUGGGAGAGAUCGCACGGACCCCUCCCCAAUUCCCCUGAUUGCACACACAGGGCAUAUCUGGAGUCUCUGGAUUUGUGUGUCUUACUUUGUGCGUCUGUGCACGCAUGUGUAUAACUGCAGUUUUAUCACGUGUGAAUAUCUGUGGCCAUCCUCAGGCCCACGCGGCUUCCUGCUCCUGCCCCUGAAUGGGCACCCCCAACACCCCGAAACCUGUUCUCAGCUGUAAAAUCGUGUCAUUUCAGGAGUGUCAUAGAUGGAUGCAUCGGCCUGUCACUUUUUAGCCUUACCCUUUUCCCUCACCAUAGUGCCCUCAGAUCCACCCACUUCUGUCCAUCUCCAGCUCCCUGUUCUUGCUGAGAAGUCCUCCAUGGUGUAGUGGCACCUUGAUUCUCCCUUUCUGGCUGUUACCAGUAGAGCUGGCUGCUGUGAGCUUUCGCUGCAGGUUUUGUGUGAGCUGCAGUCUUCGUUUCUCAGUGAUCCAUGCCCGGAAGUGAGAGGGCCAGGUCGUGGAGUAGUUGCUUGUUUGGUGUUGUGAGGACCUGCACCCUGUCUUCCAGAGGGCCACCCAUUUUGCCUCCCCACCAGCAGCAUGCCAGUGACCUGGUUUCUCCUCAUGCUGGCCAGUGUUCAGGUUCACCACUGCAUCUGUCUGGGCCACAUCGCCUGUGUUUCCCUGGUGGCGUGGUGACCUUUUCGCAGCACACCUGCGGCUGCCCCUCUGUGCUGUCCUUGCUGUUCCUCCCGUCAUCUUAGCUCAUGUGUGUAAAUGACAUAUGUUCCCCUCCCUUGUGGGUGUUGUUUUUGAUGUCCUGUGACCGCUGUCCUGGAGUGUGGGCCAGAUUCACUGGCUGUCACAGCUGGCUAUGCCCACCCUCCCUGCGGCAGGGUCCGCAGUGAGACCUGUGCCUACUGGUUCUGGGUGAUGAGCGUGAACGUUCUCUGUGGCUGCUGGCACGUGGGCAUGACCACAGGGUAGAGUGAGACUGCAGAGAUGAGGGCAGCAGGCCCCUGCUUGGCACCUGAAGCUCUGGGCAACUGGCAAGGACUGAGCCCUCUCCUGGCUGGAAGGGGCUGGGCCACCUGCUCGUGGGCUCGUCUCUGGAAGGCCCUCUGGGGGUCUUACUACCUCCCUGUCUCAGCUCCCACCGGCCUGUGAAGCCCUGUGCAGUCCACACCUGCAAUCAACCCCAGCCAUGGAGGUGGCUGUACCCCAGGUGUCUCCACUUAGUGCCCCCCCCCCGACAUGCCCCACGCUGCCCGGCCUCUCCUCUUCCCACCAUCCGUCUGGUCAGGGGUCAUUCUUGUGGUGCCUGCCCAAAUCCUUUGAGGAGGGCUGCCUGGAGCGCAGGCUCCAGGAACACUCGGAAGUGUCUGGCUUCCUCCUGGAGUGUGACAGCUCCGUGCAGGGCGCGCUGCAGAAGCACCUCGCGCUAUACAGGAUCCGGCGGAAGGUCACGGUGGAGCCGCACCCGGAGCUGCGAGUGUGGGCGGUGUUGCCCAGUUCCCCUGAGGCCUGCGGGGCUGCAUCGCUGCAGGAGAGGGCAGGGGCUGCCGCCAUCCUCAUCCGCGACCCGCGAACAGCACGCAUGGGGUGGCGGCUCCUCACCCAGGAUGAAGGCCCAGCCCUGGUGCCCGGCGGCCGGCUCGGGGACUUGUGGGAUUAUCACCAGCACCGAUACCUGCAAGGCGUUCCUGAGGGGGUCCGAGACUUGCCUCCUGGGGUGGCCCUGCCCCUGGAGUCCAACCUGGCCUUCAUGAAUGGCGUGAGCUUCACCAAAGGCUGCUACAUUGGCCAGGAGCUGACGGCCCGCACCCACCACAUGGGCGUCAUCCGCAAGCGCCUCUUCCCUGUCCGGUUCUUGGACCCCCUUCCCACCAGUGGCAUCACCCCUGGUGCCACGGUGCUGACUGCCUCAGGACAGACUGUGGGCAAGUUCAGGGCUGGCCAGGGCAACGUGGGGCUGGCCCUGCUGUGGUCAGAGAAGAUCAAGGGUCCUCUGCACAUCAGAGCCUCUGAGGGUGCUCAGGUGGCCUUAGCCGCAUCUGUGCCAGACUGGUGGCCUACGGUCUCCAAGUAGUCUGAAGCCUUGGCUGGCGCAGGCUGAUGGGGAGGCUGGGGCCUGGGGCCUUUGGCCUCUGUCCAGGGUCUUCCCGUCCCAUCUGUCUGCUGCGCCUACUGGGUGGGAGCCCUGGUUUCCAUCUGGGAAAGUCCCCCUUGUAGGUGCCCUGCCUGGCCCCACCCAUGCUCAGGGGCCCCAGGCACGUGGGUUGUUUUCUCCCUGGACUUCCUGUGGCCCCAGAGGAGCCCACCGUGUGAGUGCUGGGCUCCAGAUGGCGCCGGGUCCCAAUCGUGGCUCCACACAAGGUUGUCUGGGAGGACGGGACGGUGUCUCUGGCCAGCACUGGCAGCUUCCGGGCCUUGUACCCUACUCUGCCUAGCAUGAGCCUCAUGGGGGGUUGGUCCCUGUGCCUGGAAGCUGGGCGGUGUCCAGGGUCUGCAGGCUGGGGCUCGGGCUUUGGGAGUUGUUUCACUGUGCUUGCUUCCAGCAUGUCUCAGGGUGGGGCUAUGCGUGGUCUAGAGGGGUCUGGGGCAUUGGAUCAGGUGGCAUGUGGGUGUCUACACAUCAAAGAGCACACAGGGAUGAGCCACUAGGUAUCCCAUGCUGGAGGCUUGUGGAAGGCUGUGCCCAUCUCCCAUGUUUCCCCACCUCUGUUCCUCCUCAGAGCCCUCCAGGAGCGUGGGGUGGGGGCCAGCGCAGGGCUCAGGAGCCAGCAGGGCAGAGUUCUGCCUGUGUGUGCUAGGUUUUGGCAUAGCCUGUGUUUGCAGUGAGAGUGACUUGCUGUCAGUCACGGGGCACAGCCUCCUGUUCACCCACUGGCUUCCCCCUUCCCACUGAAGUGUGAGCUCUAUGUUUCAGGGCAUCUAUUAAAGAGUGAGCCACAGGCAGCCCCUUGGGAGCUCUGGUUUCAUUUGGGGGAGAGGGAGGUUGGGGGCUUAGUUUUUGUGAUCUGGCUGACUGGACCCCGGGAACAGCGCUCCUUUGAGAACGCCCAGACCUACCAGAUGAAGCACUUGGCAUGGCUGCAGGCCAGCAGGGGAGGCCUCAGAGGCCCAGGCUGGGCGCGUGGGUGCCGAGUCUGCAAAGGACAGCCCCAUGGCUGUGAGCUGUCGGCUGCAGGGCGCAGGGCCUGGGGGGCAGGCGUUUGGGCCACCAAGCUGGACGUUAGGGUGGCCACAGAGGGCCAAGCAGGCAGGGAGCCUGUGCUGCCAUCCUGGGGGGCCACAGGUGCUCUCUAGAAAUCUGCAGCCAUGGCGGUUUUGGGGUCAGGGGUCUAAAGGCAGCUCUGAGCUGCAGUGUAGUUUGUGAUCACCUAGGAGGAGGGUGUAGAGCGGAUGGACAGGAGGAAGCGGCUGCAGCUGGAGGGAAGAGAAGGGCCGUCCAGCCUCACCCGCUGCAGUCAGCUCUCCCAUGGGCAAGGAAACAGCUAGGUGGCCCUGACCCCUGCGGUCCUGAGAGCCGGUGGCCUUCAGCCCCUCUUGGACAGGUCAUGGUCUGGAAGUGCCCAGCGCAGGAUGGAUUCCAGACCAGCAUCCCUGCAACCUUUUCAGCCCCACUGGCUGCUGCUUUAAACUGGCAUGGAGACAUUUGAUCAGCUUCCCGGCCAGUUUUCUCUCCAGCUCAGCCAGGAGUGGGUGCCUGUGGCCUGUGUCACCAAGAGCUGGUGUCUCCUGCAUGAGAGGCAUGCACCCCUGGAAUGAGGGUCUGUGCCUUGAGCUCAAAGUGUCCCGGCUCUGUCAUCUGCCUGAAGUUGCCUGGCUUUUCCAGCAGGGCCUCCCUGAGUGCUGCAGCAUCUGGGAGCAUCCUAGCCUGUCCCGUGGGUGUGGCUGGGUGAGGGCUAGGAGGUGAGCCAGGAAGGAAGCACUCCGCUCCAGAGUGAGGUGCCGCCUGAGCCAUCCUGUGCCCCCUCAGUGUCUUCAGGUCUCUGCAGGUGUCAGGAUCUCAAAAUACUUGGUUCAGAUCAAACACAUUUCGUGUUCUUCUGUGUCCUUUUUUUUUUUUUUUUUUUUUUUGAGAUGGAGUCUUGCUCUGUUGCCCAGGCUAGAGCUCAGUGGCACAAUCUCUGCCCACUGCAACCUCUGCCUCCCAGGUUCCAGUGAUUUUCCUGCCUCAGCCUCCUGGGUAGCUGGGACUACAGGCACAUGCCCCAUGCCCGGCUAAUUUUUGUAUUUUUAGUAGAGAUGGGGUUUUACUGUGUUGGCCAGGAUGGUCUCAAUUACAGGCAUGAGCCACUGUGCCCAGCCUCUUCUGUGUCUUUAAAAAGGAAAGUGUCAGUCAACAAAAGAGCCCCUCUGUCAUACAAACCAAGUCAGUUUUCACCAAAAUGUCCUUAGUCCUCUCAGAAAGGCCUGGCCUUUAGGACCUUGGAAGCAGGCCCUAAAGCGCAUCGGCAGGGUCAGAGCUUUGUGUUCAGGAACACUGGGAUCUGCUGAGAGCUGGUGUAGCCGCUCCAAAACUGCACACUGCUUUUCCUGUCUGCUUUAGUUUGUGUUGUAAAAACAUAGGAAGUUCGUGUGUGUGUGUGUGUGUGUGUGUGUGUGAAUUCAAGGCAUAAGCUGCAGUUGUGUUAUGUGGGUAUAGUGCAUGGUGGUGCAGUCUGGGCUUCUUACCCUCACACCUCCUGCCUCCCCUUGUUAGAGUCCCCCGCAUCCACCUUCCACUUUCUGAACCCACAUUGCCUGUUGGGCAGCUCCUGGUUGUGAGGCAGGACGUGUGGUGUUUGACUGUCUGUUUCUGAGCUGUUUUACUUAACACAGUGUAUAUGGUGCAUCUUUAGGAGAGCAUGCUUAUAUUUUCCUUUCAAAGCCAGAUAUGGGCGGGUGUGGUGGCUCAUGCCUGUGAUCCCAGCACUUUGGGAGGCUGAGGCAGGAGGAUUGCUUGAGCCCAGGAGUUUGAGAGCAGCCUGGGCAACAUAUCAAGACUCUGUCUCUUAAAAAAAAAAAAAUCAGCCAGGCAUGGUGGUCCACACCUGUGGUCCCACCUAUUCGGGAGGCUGAAGUGCGAGGAUCACUUGAGCCCAGGAGGUUGAGGCUGCAGUGAGCUGUGAUUGUGCCACUGCACUCCAGCCUGGGCAACAGAGCAAGACCCUGUCUUAAAACAAAGAAAGAAUAAAAAAGAAGAGAAGUUGCAGUUGGUAGUAUUUCCAGAGCCCGGCAGACAGUGUAGAAACUGUGAGAAACCCACCUCCAAAUCAGGCCUUAGAUAGAAAACAUCCUAAGAAGUAUACGUUCAUUGUAAAAUCAUUAUCGUCAUUAUCUUCUAAUCCCCAAGGAGACAAGCUCCCUGUUCUGUGUUCUUGUAUGAGGCGGUCAGUCAAGCGCAGCCCGAGAGGAGAGGCGGGAGCCCGGGAGAGCCUCUGCUAGACCUUUCCUGGCGCUUCCCCAGGAAAGGCAAGGCAGGGCAGAUGUGCGGCUGGCCAGCUGGAGUGAUUUCCAUGGGCUCCAAGCUGUAGGAGUGGUCCCUGGCUGCCAGAGUGCUCUGGCCAGAUAGAGGUGGGCUCUGGACUGGUGAGGCUGCAUCGCAGAGGCGUGCACACCAAGCUGGGCCCUUAUCUGUAAGGACUGGCUGGCCUGGGAGGGGCAGUCUCACAGCCAGAAGGUGGAAUUUUUUUUUUUUUUUUUGAGAUAUCAAAACAUCCUAAGGUACAGGAAAGAAAUUGUCAACACACACACAGUACCAUAAACAAGGCCCAGCAGAAAGGCAGACAGAAGCACACACACCAAUGUUCUGAUCUUAGAGUAAGCAGACACAUCACAUGGAAUGAGGAUGUUUAAUAUAUUUAAAGAAAACAAUUUAUGCACAGGAAGCAAGAGACUAUAAAAAUGACCAAGCAGAUUUUAAAAAGAGAACUUGUUGAAAUAAAAAUAAAAUACUCUAAAAAAUAAUCCAUGAUGUGUUUCCUGAAGAAUCGGGAACUGUUUGAAGAAAUGACCCCAAAGUGCAGCACAGAAAGACAGAGCUGGAAAAUAUGAGAUGGGAUGAGACAAGAAGAUGGAGAGUUUAGUAUGACAUCCGCAAUUUACGAGUAAUUCCAGAAGGAGGGGAAAGAGAAUAUGGGGUGGAGGCAAGUAUUCAGAGAAAUACGGCUGAGAACUUUCCCAAACCGACAGGAGCCCCUGCUGCUUAGGUUCAGGAAUCCAGCAGCUCCCAAGCAGCAUAGUUAAAAAGCUCUACCCAAACAGUCACGUCUUGGUGAAAGUACAGAAUCUCAUGACAAAGAGAUCUUAAAAGAAGGCAGAAAAGAAAGAGAUUAUCUGGAAAGAAGAAAAUAAGUAGUUGAUUAAAAGCAACAGUGGAAGCCAGAAAGAUAGUAAAUAAUAUCUUCAAAGUCCUGGGAGAAAAUAGUGAUAGCCUAGAAUUGUGUACCCAGAAAAUCCGUCUUUCAAGAAUGAGGGGCCAGGCGCAGUGGCUCACGUCUGUAUUCCCAGCACUUUGGGAGGCCAAGGCAGUUGGAUCACCUGAGGUCAGGAGUUCAAGACCAGCCUGAUCAACAUGGUGAAACCCUGUCUCUACUAAAAAUACAAAAAUUAGCUGGGUGUGGUGGCAUAUGCCUGUAAUCCCAGCUACUCGGGAGGCUGAGGCAGGAGAAUCACUUGAACCUGGGAGGCAGAGGUUGCAGUGAGCCAAGAUUGUGCCAUUGCACUCCAGCCUGGGCAAUAGAAUGAGACUCUGUCUCAAAAAAGAAAAAAAAAAAAGAGGGCUAAACGCAUUUUCAUACCACGAAACUGCCCUCACUCCAGAGUUUGCUGCCAGCAGAGCCUAGAGCGUCUAAGGCAUGUCUGGGCUUCUGGCGAGGGAUCCUCUGGGGAAGCUGGAGAUGGAAGGAGUGAAUAGGCAGGAAGGUGGAUUUGUGGGCAUGUCUAAAACACCACAUCUAGAAGCUUCUACUUAGAAUGCCUACUUUUGGAGUUUAUAAAAAAGAUGCCACAUGUUGAGUUGGGAGAGAGGUGCCCAAACCUACAGUGUUCUAAAGUCCCCCUACUGGUCGGAAGGAGGGCACUUACACUGACUUCAGCAUCUGUUACAAGGCUUAUCAAAGUUUUCAGAUAAUCUCUAAAAGAAUGGAAAUAUAUCUUCCAAACUAUAGAGGGAAGACCAUGGAAUUUAAAAGCCAGUCCUUCAAGGAGAAAUGAACAAACUCAAAAUCGUAGUUGGGAGUGUUUUUUUUUUUUUUCUCUGAGACAGGGUCUCACUCUUGCCCAGGCUGGAGUGGAGUGGCAUAAACACAGCUCACUACAGCCUCAACCUCCUGGGCUCAGAUGAUCCUCCUGCCUCAGCCUCCUGAGUAGCAGGAACUACAGGUGUGAGUCAUCACACUCAGCUAAUUUUUUUUUUUUUUUUUUUUUUUUACUUUUUGUAGAGAUGGGGGUCUCACUGCGUUGCCCAGGCUGGUCUUGAAUUUCUGGGCUCAGGUGAUCUUCCCACCUCAGCCUCCUGAGUAGCUGGGACCACAGGUGCAUGCUAAUUUUUAAAAUUUUUUGUUUUUAAAUGCUGGUCUUCAACUCUUGUCCCCAAGUAGCUGGGACUGGGGCAUGAGGCACUGUGCUAACUUCAUGUUGAAAUUGAAUUGCCAUUCUAACAGUGUUAAGAGAUGGGGCCUGUAAGAGGUGAUUUGGCUGUGAGGGCUCCACUCUCCAAGGGCGGAGUUAAUGUUAUGAAAGGGUAAGUCCAGCCCGCUUGUUCCUCUCUUGCCCUCCAGUGUUCAAAGCACCAUCUUGGAGGUGGAAUUCCCAAGUCGGCCAGUUCCUGGAUCUUGGACUGUCCGGUCUCCAGAACCGUGAGCCAAUAAACCUCUGUUCCUUGUAAAUGAGUCAGCCUCAGGUAUUCUCUUGUAGCAGCACAAAUGGAGGCAGACACUUCCUUCACCAAUCUCAUGGGAGGCCCACUCCUGUGAGCUGCCUCCAGUUCCCCAGGCCACAGACUCCAUCAGGGCUCACCUGGAGCCAUCCCUGUCUCACCUGGAAGCUCUCCCACUCCUCUGGCCAGCCUGGGCAUCUCCACCCAAUAUGAGUGAUGGCGACUGAUUCCCUUACUUUAGCAAGCUGGGAAUAAGGAAUGUUUGCCUGUUCUUAUUCAGGGGUCUCUGCAUCUCCACACUUGCACAGGUUGUGUGUACAUACAUUUUCCUGUCUUUCUGGUAAGCCCCUGGGGUGGAGCUCUGGGCCACAGGGCAGGAAAACUCAGUGUUGCUAGGAACUGCCAGACAUUUUCCCGGAGUGAGUGCAGCAUUUACAUUCCCACCAGAAGUGUGCCAGGUUCCUGUCAUCCUGCGUCCUCGCCAGCGCUUGGUGCUGUCAGUCUUCUUAGUUUCCAUUUAGAGAUUCAGUGUUUAAAUUUUGAACGUCUUGGGUGAACACCUUGGUUUGAGAAAAGUAAGAAAAAGGGUCUGUCUGGCUAUGGGCCAUGGAGACCCAGGGCAGUGCUCCACGUGCCAACCCUGGGGCAGGGAGCCCAAGCUAGGACUGUGACUGUCUGGGCUGUGGGCAUCUGACCAUCUCCAGUGUCCCCGUCUUUGAUUUCCCUGGCGAUGGUGCUAGCUUAGUUUGUGCGCGUCGGCAUUUGUGGGAGAAAUGAAGGAUUAAUACAUUUUGUUUUAUGUCAGACUCUCUCAGUGAGAAGUUCUCAGGGACAAUAAUAGCAGGGGGUCCUGCUGAAGAAAAACUGGGAGAUGGCUGAGCUCUGGUACAUCUUUCAUUGAUUCAUUCAUUUCUUCAUUCAUUCAACCAUGUAUUGAAUGCUUAUAGCCAAUGAAAAUAAAGUACACAGUAUAUUUUA
rnacentral:sRNA from 1 species